AUACGGAGGAUGCGAGCGUUAUCCGGAUUUAUUGGGUUUAAAGGGAGCGUAGGUGGGAUAUUAAGUCAGCUGUGAAAGUUUGGGGCUCAACCUUAAAAGUGCAGUUGAUACUGGUUUCCUUGAGUACGGUACAGGUGGGCGGAAUUCGUGGUGUAGCGGUGAAAUGCUUAGAUAUCACGAAGAACUCCGAUCGCGCAGGCAGCUCCCCGGGCCGGAACUGACCAUGAUGCUCGAAAGUGCGGGUAUCAAACAGGAUUAGAUACCCUGGUAGUCCGCACAGUAAACGAUGAAUACUCGCUGUUUGCGAUACACUGUAAGCGGCCAAGCGAAAGCGUUAAGUAUUCCACCUGGGGAGUACGCCGGCAACGGUGAAACUCACAGGAAUUGACGGGG
rnacentral:rRNA from 1 species